CAUGUAGGCGGACUGUUAAGUCUGGUGUGAAAGCCCGGGGCUCAACCCCGGAAGUGCAUUGGAUACUGGCAGUCUUGAGUAUGGGAGAGGAAAGUGGAAUUCCGAGUGUAGGAGUGAAAUCCGUAGAUAUUCGGAGGAACACCAGUGGCGAAGGCGGCUUUCUGGACCAAUACUGACGCUGAGAUGCGAAAGCGUGGGGAGCAAACA
rnacentral:rRNA from 1 species